rnacentral:tRNA from 1 species
GCGUCGGUGGUUCAGUGGUAGAAUACUCGCCUACCACGCAGGUCACCCGGGUUCGAUUCCCGGCUGACGCA